rnacentral:lncRNA from 1 species
GCGAGGGUCGGAUAGGGCUUCAAUCCAUCUACGGAUGAAUCGUUCUUGCCUGAAGUUGCAAUCAAACCGUAAAACAUUAAGAACACAUAUGUUUCUUUUAUGCAUUAUCAUACGAACAAGAAAAACAAUUGGUACCUCUCUGGUGGGAAGGAACGGUAUCUCUCUCCAGGCUCCUUGAAGUUGUUCUCUUUCUCAAUAACGCACUGCAAACACACAUUUCAAACGUUUAGACCAUAUCUUUCUUACGUACACCAAGGAGAACAAAAACAGAGGAAAACAGGGUUUUGACUACUUACCCUCUCACGUUUUCCAGAGCAGACUGCUGGAGGAGUUGGAUACUUCUCAGCAUGACGAACCGGAUCAUACCUCGACGGGAAGUAGUUGACCUGUAAACAAAAGCUUCUUGUAAGACUAACGAUAUUCUAGCUUCAAGUUCGAUACAAAGAUAACUAAUAUUGUUAUAUCAAGUACCUCUUCAUCCCUGUGCAUGAAAUUCAUGAACCCCUCAUGGUGGUUGUUGUGGUGAGCGCAUUUUGGGGCAUUAACUGGUAGCUGGAGGUAGUUUGGUCCAAGACGGUGUCUCUGAGUGUCAGCGUAGGAGAAGACACGGGUUUGAAGAAGCUUAUCGUCCGAGUAGUGGAUCCCGGGGACAAUAAUUGCAGGGCAGAAGGCAAGUUGCUCAUUCUCUGCAAAGAAGUUGUCAAUGUUCUUGUUCAACACCAUACGUCCAACUGGUUGGAGAGGCAAGAUAUCCUCAGGCCAGGUCUUGGUCACAUCGAGCGGGUCAAAGUCGAACUUGUCUUCAUCAGCUGGAUCAAUGAUCUGGAUAAAGAGCUUCCACUCAGGGUAGUUUCCAGCAGCGAUAGAGUCAUACAAGUCCUGAGUCGCGUGACUGUGGUUGGUUCCUCCAACACGAAUAGCAUCUUCUUCCAAAAGGGAUUUGACUCCACAGGUUGGUUUCCAGUGGAACUUCACGUAGUGAGCUUUACCAGCUUUGUUGAUCAACAUGUAUGUGUUGACACCGGAACCAUCCAUGUGCCUGUAAUCUUGUGGGAUACCAAC